GUCUCGGUAGCUCAGUUGGCAGAGCGAUGGGUUAGUGACCCAGAGUCGCGAUUUCGAGCCUCGCCCGAGACA